rnacentral:rRNA from 1 species
CAGCAGCCGCGGUAAUACGAAGGGGGCUAGCGUUGUUCGGAAUCACUGGGCGUAAAGCGCACGUAGGCGGACACUUAAGUCAGAGGUGAAAUCCCAAUGCUCAACCUUGGAACUGCCUUUGAUACUGGGUGUCUUGAGUUCGGGAGAGGUGAGUGGAACUGCGAGUGUAGAGGUGAAAUUCGUAGAUAUUCGCAAGAACACCAGUGGCGAAGGCGGCUCACUGGCCCGAUACAGACGCUGAGGUGCGAAAGCGUGGGGAGCAAACAGGAUUAGAUACCCCCGUAGUCCCUGUCUCUUAUAC